AAUGAACGUUGGCGGCGUGGAUUAGGCAUGCAAGUCGUGCGAGAAGUCUUUUGCUUGCAUUAGACGGAAAGCGGCGAAAGGGAGAGUAACACGUGGGUACCUACCUCCAGGACUGGGAUAGCGGCGGGAAACUGCCGGUAAUACCAGAUAAUGUCCCCGGACCAAAGGUGUGAUUCCGCCUGAAGAUGGGCCCGCGUCCUAUUAGCUUGUUGGUGAGGUAAAGGCUCACCAAGGCGAAGAUGGGUACCGGGUGUGAGAGCAUGGCCCGGCUCACUGGGACUGAGACACUGCCCAGACACCUACGGGUGGCUGCAGUCGAGAAUCUUCCACAAUGGGCGAAAGCCUGAUGGAGCGACGCCGCGUGCGGGAUGAAGGCCUUCGGGUUGUAAACCGCUGUCAGUUGGGAGGAAAUGCUAUGGGGUUCUCUCCAUAGUUUGACCGAUCUUCAGAGGAAGCGCAGGCUAAGUUCGUG
rnacentral:rRNA from 1 species